rnacentral:rRNA from 1 species
GACGGGGCCGCACAAGCGGUGGAGCAUGUGGUUAAUUCGAUGCAACGCGAACGAACCUUACCUGGGCUUGACAUCCCGAGAAUCCCCUGGAAACAGGGAGUGCCUUUCGGGGAACUCGGAGACAGGUGCUGCAUGGCUGUCGUCAGCUCGUGUCGUGAGAUGUUGGGUUAAGUCCCGCAACGAGCGCAACCCUUGUCUUUAAUUGCCAGCAUUCAGUUGGGCACUUUAAAGAGACUGCCGGUGUUAAGCCGGAGGAAGGUGGGAUGACGUCAAGUCCUCAUGGCCUUUAUGCCCAGGGCUACACACGUGCUACAAUGGGUGGUACAAAGAGAUGCCAACUCGCGAGAGCGCGCCAAUCUCAGAAAGCCAUCCUCAGUUCGGAUUGGAGUCUGCAACUCGACUCCAUGAAGUUGGAAUCGCUAGUAAUCGCGGAUCAGCACGCCGCGGUGAAUACGUUCCCGGGCCUU